GGUCGAUUGGUCUAGUGGUAUGAUUCUCGCUUAGGGAGCACCCUGAGUCCGUUGCAACAUGCAGCUACUUGGUUAGACGCCGGUAUUGCGAGAGGUCCCGCGUUCGAGUCGCGGAUCGACCC
rnacentral:tRNA from 1 species